GGUGAACGUUGGCGGCGCGUCUAAUACAUGCAAGUCGAGCGAGGCUUCGAGCCGAGCGGCGGACGGCUGAGUAACACGUUGGUAGCUACCCCGUACUCAGGGAUAACACUGAGAAAUCAGUGCUAAUACCGGAUGGUCCCGAAAGGGUAAAGAUUUAUCGGUACGGGAGGUGCCUGCGGCCUAUCAGCUAGUUGGUGAGGUAAUGGCUCACCAAGGCUAUGACGGGUAACUGGUCUGAGAGGACGACCAGUCAGAGGGAAACUGAGACACGGUUCCCACUCCUACGGGAGGCAGCAGUAAAGAAUCUUCCGCAAUGGACGCAAGUCUGACGGAGCGACGCCGCGUGCAGGAUGAAGGCCUUCGGGUCGUAAACUGCUUUCUGAGGGAAUAAUUCUGAAUGUACCUCAGGAAUAAGCACCGGCAAAUCACGUGCCAGCAGCCGCGG
rnacentral:rRNA from 1 species